rnacentral:rRNA from 1 species
CCUACGGGAGGCAGCAGUGAGGAAUAUUGGUCAAUGGGCGAGAGCCUGAACCAGCCAAGUCGCGUGAGGGAAGACGGUCCUAUGGAUUGUAAACCUCUUUUGCCGGGGAGCAAAAAGCGGUACGUGUACCGCAUCGAGAGUACCCGGAGAAAAAGCAUCGGCUAACUCCGUGCCAGCAGCCGCGGUAAUACGGAGGAUGCGAGCGUUAUCCGGAUUUAUGGGGUUUAAAGGGUGCGCAGGCGGCGAGUUAAGUCAGCGGUAAAAUUUCGGGGCUCAACCCCGACAAGCCGUUGAAACUGGCUUGCUUGAGUGGGCGAGAGGUAGGCGGAAUGCGUGGUGUAGCGGUGAAAUGCAUAGAUAGCACGAAGAACUCCGAUUGCGAAGGCAGCAUACCGGCGCCCAACUGACGCUCAGGCACGAAAGCGUGGGUAUCGAACAGGAUUAGAUACCCCAGUAGUC